rnacentral:lncRNA from 1 species
GUGGGCUUGAGGUGUGACAGACUAAGGUGGUAUCAAAGUUAAUUAGCAGCCGAAAAUAUGAAAUUAGUAUCAGCUGAGCCAGAUUAUACAACGGAGAGAGCGAGGCUCUUAUGCUGACGACUAUUGUGGGUAGAGCACGACUCCCUCACAAGGUCAUAAGGCUAGCGAGACGAGUCUCACAUCACCUGGUACUUGUGAGUCUAAGUCUGACGAGGACAUCGGAAAUUAAAGGGAAAAAAAAUGUGAGACUCCAAAUAGUCCUAUAUAUAAGAUAGGGAUAAUUGCCUAUAUACCCCUCAUACGUUUGAAAAUAUCUGAUUUACCCCUACUUUUUUUUUUCUUUCUAAAAUACCCUUCAUAUGUUCCACCAUUAUUGCAAAAUACCCCCGCAGUUAUCUCCUGUUAAGUUAACUUGGGUUAAACGUGAGUUAAAUAUCUACCACAAUUUAAAAAAAUUAAAAUACCAAUUUGCCCUUAACUUAAGGGCAAAUAAGAAAUGUUGGUGACGGUAGAGAGGUAUAUUAGAAAAUACCAAAAGUCAAAAUACUUUUUGUGCCCCUGACUUUAAGGGCAAGUAAGAAAGUAAGUAAUGGUAGAAGUGUAUAUUUGAAAGGGCAAAAUAAUAAUUUUACAGAGAUAAUAGAGUUAAUUAACAGAUUUUAACUCUAGGGGUAUAUUAGAAAUAGGUUGGAACGUAGGAAGGAUAUUUUCAAUAUUAGCCUUCAAAGAGGGGUAAAUCGGAAAGUUGAAAACUUUUCAAGGGUAUAUAAGCAAUUGCCCCUAUAAGACUAAAAAACUCUUAACCCGACUAUAGCGCAUUUUGGACGGUGGUUAGGUUCAAGAGGUUGAGAAAGUUAAGCGUGAUAGGGCGUUAUAGUAAAAUAUUUGAGUGAGUUUAGAUAGAAAGAGAUUUUUCUUAAGUGAUUUUAUAAAGCUAUUUGGUAAAAUUUUUUUGAUAUUCGAAAAAAAAUAUUUUUCUGAAUUUUAUUUUAAAAUAAUUUAAGUUUGAAUUUAAAUUUAAAAUUUAAAAUUUAAAAUUGAAAAUUAAAAAUUUUGAAUUUUAAAAUUUUGAAAUUUGAAAAUUAAAAUUUGAAAAUUAAAACUUAUAAUUUUAAAAUUUAAAAUAUAAAAUUUAUCUUAAUUUUAAAUUUGAAAUUUAAAAAUUUAAAAUUUAAAAUUUGAUAUGUAAAUUUAAUAUUUAAAAUUUUGAAAUUUAAAAUUUAAAAGUUAAAAUUUAAAUGUAAAAUUUAAUUAAAGUUUGAAUAUAAAUUUAAAAAUUGAAUCUAAAAUCAAAAUAAAAAAUUUAAAAUUUGAGAGCAAAACUAGAAUUAGAUUUUGCAAAGCAAAUUUUAGUUGUGUCUAAUUUUGAACUUCGAAAAUUAAGAAAUUAAUUCUAAAAAUUAGAAUAAAAAAUUGAAAAUAAAGUUAUCAACCGCUUCAGUCGAAAAUUAUUUUUGACCACAAAAUUAUUUUUUCAAAUUUAGGCUUAGAAUAUCCACUAAGAUGUUCACGCGAAUAAGAUGCCAAGUUGUCAAACGUGAACAGCCUGGUGGACUAGGGAUGUCAACGGGUCGGGUUUGGGUCGGGUUUUUAAAAACCCGAACCCGGACCCGAAUACCAAGUUUAUACCCGAACCCGAACCCGAACCCGACGGGUUUAAAAAAUCCAUACCUAUAUCCGGCCCCGAUCAAAUACCCGAAACUCGAACCCAAACCCGAAAACCCGAACCCGAUGGUUAGGGAAAGAGAGACGACGAUGGUUAGGGUUAAUCGAAGGCAGACGUAAGUCGCGGAGGAGUCCUGCGGCAUUCGGGCUUGUGAUGGAAUGGCGAUUUUUUGAUCAGAAAAGAAAUAAAACAAGAAAAAGAUUGUCAGAAAUCACAGAAUAAUUCGACUUCGAUCGGAUUGGGACUGGGGACGGGCCGCGGGCGAGGCGCCUAGGGAAGCGCCGUGCGUUGUCGGAUUGGGAUAGGCGGCGGGGCGGGGGAGACUGCGGACGGCAGAUCGAAGGGGCGGCGUCGCGGCGAAAUGGCGGAUAGGGGCAAAGGGAGUUAGGGCGAAAAUGAAAUGGCGGAUGGGGAUGGGGCGAACUUGCAAAGUAAGGA